rnacentral:rRNA from 1 species
AUUAACAGGAUUAGAUACCCUGGUAGUCCACGCUGUAAACGAUGUCGAUUUGGAGGUUGUGCCCUUGAGGCGUGGCUUCCGGAGCUAACGCGUUAAAUCGACCGCCUGGGGAGUACGGCCGCAAGGUUAAAACUCAAAUGAAUUGACGGGGGCCCGCACAAGCGGUGGAGCAUGUGGUUUAAUUCGAUGCAACGCGAAGAACCUUACCUACUCUUGACAUCCAGAGAACUUUCCAGAGAUGGAUUGGUGCCUUCGGGAACUCUGAGACAGGUGCUGCAUGGCUGUCGUCAGCUCGUGUUGUGAAAUGUUGGGUUAAGUCCCGCAACGAGCGCAACCCUUAUCCUUUGUUGCCAGCGGUUCGGCCGGGAACUCAAAGGAGACUGCCAGUGAUAAACUGGAGGAAGGUGGGGAUGACGUCAAGUCAUCAUGGCCCUUACGAGUAGGGCUACACACGUGCUACAAUGGCGUAUACAAAGGGAAGCGACCUCGCGAGAGCAAGCGGACCUCAUAAAGUACGUCGUAGUCCGGAUUGGAGUCUGCAACUCGACUCCAUGAAGUCGGAAUCGCUAGUAAUCGUAGAUCAGAAUGCUACGGUGAAUACGUUCCCGGGCCUUGUACACACCGCCCGUCACACCAUGGGAGUGGGUUGCAAAAGAAGUAGGUAGCUUAACCUUCGGGAGGGCGCUUACCACUUUGUGAUUCAUGACUGGGGUGAAGUCGUAACAAGGUAGCCAAUC